rnacentral:tRNA from 1 species
GCCGUUGUGGCUCAGUGGUCCGAUCACUUGAUUGCUAUCUAGAGGGGCCCGGGUUCGAAUCCCGGUUAAGGCC